GUUUUGCAUCGUUUUUCGUUCCGGAACCGAAUGCUCAAAAACACUCCCAAACAUGUUCUAGGGUAUAAUUAGGAAGAUUGCAUGCAUUCGUUGCGAAAAAAAUCCACCCGAGUUUCGCUACCCGGCAAUAGUGCAUUCGGGUGCCGAAAUGCACCCGUUUUGCAUCAUUUUUCGUUCCGGAACCGAAUGCUCAAAAACACUCCCAAACAUGUUCUAGGGUAUAAUUUGGAAGAUUGCAUGCGUUCGUUGCGAAAAAAUCCACCCGAGUUUCGCUACCCGGCAAUAGUUCAUUCGGGUGCCGAAAUGCACCCAUUUUGCCUCGUUUUUCGUGCCGGAACGGAAUGCUCAAAAACACUCCCAACCAUGUUCUAGUCUAUAAUUAGGAAGAUUGCAUGCGUUCGUUGCGAAAAAAUCCACCCGAGUUUCGCUACACGGAAAUAGUGCGUUCGGGUGCCGAAAUGCACCCAUUUUGCCCCGUUUUUCGUUCCGGAACCGAAUGCUCAAAAAAACACCCCCAAACAUGUUCUAGGGUAUAAUUGGGAAGAUUGCAUGCGUUCGUUGCGAAAAAAUCCACCCGAGUUUCGCUACCCAGCAAUAGUGCAUUCGGGUGCCGAAAUGCACCCGUUUUGCAUCAUUUUUCGUUCCGGAACCGAAUGCUCAAAAACACUCCCAAACAUGUUCUAGGUUAUAAUUAGGAAGAUUGCAUGCCUUCGUUGCGAAAAAAUCCACCCGAGUUUCGCUACGAGGAAAUUGUGCAUUCGGGUGCUGAAAUGCACCCGUUUUGCAUCGUUUUUCGUGCCAUAACCGAAUGCUCAAAAAGACUCCCAAACAUGUUCUAGGGUAUAAUUAGGAAGAUUGCAUACGUUUGUUGCGAAAAAAUCCACCCGAGUUUCGCUACCCGGAAAUAGUGCAUUCGGGUGCCGAAAUGCAGCCGUUUUGCAUCAUUUUUCAUGCUAGAACCGAAUGCUCAAAAACACUCCCAAACAUGUUCUAGGGUCUAAUUACGUAGAUUGGAUGCGUUCGUUGCGAAAAAAAUCCACCUGAAUUUCGCUACCCGGAAAUAGUGCAUUCGGGUGCCGAAAUGCACCCAUUUUGCAUCAUUUUUUGUUCCGGAAUCGAAUGCUCAAAAACACUCCGAAACAUGUUCUAGGGUCUAAUUAUGAAGAUUGCAUGCGUUCGUUGCGAAAAAAUCUACCCGAGUUUCGCUACCCGGAAAUAGUGCAUUCGGUUGCUGAAAUGCACCCGUUUUGCAUCGUUUUUCGUGCCGGAACCGAAUGCUCAAAAACACUCCAAAACAUGUUCUAGGGUCUAAUUAGGAAGAUUGCAUGCAUUCGUUGCGAAAAAAUGCACCCGAGUUUCGCUACCCGGAAAUAGUGCAUUCGGGUGCCGAAUUGCACCUGUUUUGUAUCGUUUUUCGUUCUGGAACCGUUGCUCAAAAACACUCCCAAACAUGUUCUAGGGUAUAAUUAUGAAGAUUGCAUGCGUUCGUUGCGAAAAAAUCCACCCGAGUUUCGCUACACGGAAAAAGUGCAUUCGGGUGCCGAAAUGCACCCGUUUUGCAUCGUUUUUCGUUCCGGAACCGAAUCCUCAAAAAGACUCCCAAACAUGUUCUAGGGUAUAAUUAGGAAGAUUGCAUGCGUUCGUUGCGAAAAAAUCCACCCGAGUUUCGCUACACGGAAAAAGUGCAUUCGGGUGCCGAAAUGCACCCGUUUUGCAUCGUUUUUCGUUCCGGAACCGAAUGCUCAAAAAGACUCCCAAACAUGUUCUAGGGUAUAAUUAGGAAGAUUGCAUGCGUUCGUUGCGAAAAAAUCCACCCGAGUUUCGCUACACGGAAAAAGUGCAUUCGGGUGCCGAAAUGCACCCGAUUUGCCUCGUUUUUCGUUCCGGAACCGAAUGCUCAAAAACACUCCUAAACAUGUUCUAGGGUCUAAUUAUGAAGAUUGCAUGCGUUCGUUGCAAAAAAAUCUACCCGAGUUUCGCUACCCGGAAAUAGUGCAUUCGGUUGCUGAAAUGCACCUGUUUUGCAUCGUUUUUCGUGCCGGAACCGAAUGCUCAAAAACACUCCAAAACAUGUUCUAGGGUCUAAUUAGGAAGAUUGCAUGCAUUCGUUGCGAAAAAAUGCACCCGAGUUUCGCUACCCGGAAAUAGUGCAUUCGGGUGCCGAAAUGCAGCCGUUUUGCAUCAUUUUUCAUGCUAGAACCGAAUGCUCAAAAACACUCCCAAACAUGUUCUAGGGUCUAAUUACGUAGAUUGGAUGCGUUCGUUGCGAAAAAAAUCCACCUGAAUUUCGCUACCCGGAAAUAGUGCAUUCGGGUGCCGAAAUGCACCCAUUUUGCAUCAUUUUUUGUUCCGGAAUCGAAUGCUCAAAAACACUCCGAAACAUGUUCUAGGGUCUAAUUAUGAAGAUUGCAUGCGUUCGUUGCGAAAAAAUCUACCCGAGUUUCGCUACCCGGAAAUAGUGCAUUCGGUUGCUGAAAUGCACCCGUUUUGCAUCGUUUUUCGUGCCGGAACCGAAUGCUCAAAAACACUCCAAAACAUGUUCUAGGGUCUAAUUAGGAAGAUUGCAUGCAUUCGUUGCGAAAAAAUGCACCCGAGUUUCGCUACCCGGAAAUAGUGCAUUCGGGUGCCGAAUUGCACCUGUUUUGUAUCGUUUUUCGUUCUGGAACCGUUGCUCAAAAACACUCCCAAACAUGUUCUAGGGUAUAAUUAUGAAGAUUGCAUGCGUUCGUUGCGAAAAAAUCCACCCGAGUUUCGCUACACGGAAAAAGUGCAUUCGGGUGCCGAAAUGCACCCGUUUUGCAUCGUUUUUCGUUCCGGAACCGAAUGCUCAAAAAGACUCCCAAACAUGUUCUAGGGUAUAAUUAGGAAGAUUGCAUGCGUUCGUUGCGAAAAAAUCCACCCGAGUUUCGCUACACGGAAAAAGUGCAUUCGGGUGCCGAAAUGCACCCGAUUUGCCUCGUUUUUCGUUCCGGAACCGAAUGCUCAAAAACACUCCUAAACAUGUUCUAGGGUAUAAUUAGGAAGAUUGCAUGCGUUCGUUGCGAAAAAAUCCGCCCGAGUCUCGCUACCCGGCAAUAGUGCAUUCGGGUGCCGAAAUGCACCCGUUUUGCAUCAUUUUUCGUUCCGGAACCGAAUGCUCAAAAACACUCCCAAACAUGUUCUAGGGUAUAAUUAGGAAGAUUGCAUGCGUUCGUUGUGAAAAAAUCCACCCGAGUGUUGCUACCCGGCAAUAGUGCAUUCGGGUGCCGAAUUGCACCCGUUUUGCAUCAUUUUUCGUUCCGGAACCGAAUGCUCAAAAACACUCCCAAACAUGUUCUAGGGUAUAAUUAGGAAGAUUGCAUGCGUUCGUUGCGAAAAAAUCCACCCGAGUGUCGCUACCCGGCAAUAGUGCAUUCGGUUGCCGAAAUGCACCCGUUUUGUAUCGUUUUUGUUCUGGAACCGUUGCUCAAAAACACUCCAAAACAUGUUCUAUGGUCUAAUUAGGAAGAUUGCAUGCAUUCGUUGCGAAAAAAUCCACCCGAGUUUCGCUACCCGGAAAUAGUGCAUUCGGGUGCCGAAUUGCACCUGUUUUGUAUCGUUUUUCGUUCUGGAACCGUUGCUCAAAAACACUCCCAAACAUGUUCUAGGGUAUAAUUAUGAAGAUUGCAUGCGUUCGUUGCGAAAAAAUCCACUCGAGUUUCGCUACACGGAAAAAGUGCAUUCGGGUGCCGAAAUGCACCCGUUUUGCAUCGUUUUUCGUUCCGGAACCGAAUGCUCAAAAACACUCCCAAACAUGUUCUAGGGUAUAAUUAGGAAGAUUGCAUGCAUUCGUUGCGAAAAAAUCCACCCGAGUUUCGCUACCCGGCAAUAGUGCAUUCGGGUGCCGAAAUGCACCCGUUUUGCAUCAUUUUUCGUUCCGGAACCGAAUGCUCAAAAACACUCCCAAACAUGUUCUAGGGUAUAAUUUGGAAGAUUGCAUGCGUUCGUUGCGAAAAAAUGCACCCGAGUUUCGCUACACGGAAAAAGUGCAUUCGGGUACCGAAAUGCACCCGUUUUGCAUCGUUUUUCGUUCCGGAACCGAAUGCUCAAAAACACUCCCAAACAUGUUCUAGGGUAUAAUUAGGAAGAUUGCAUGCAUUCGUUGCGAAAAAAUCCACCCGAGUUUCGCUACCCGGCAAUAGUGCAUUCGGGUGCCGAAAUGCACCCGUUUUGCAUCAUUUUUCGUUCCGGAACCGAAUGCUCAAAAACACUCCCAAACAUGUUCUAGGGUAUAAUUUGGAAGAUUGCAUGCGUUCGUUGCGAAAAAAAUCCACCCGAGUUUCGCUACCCGGCAAUAGUUCAUUCGGGUGCCGAAAUGCACCCAUUUUGCCUCGUUUUUCGUGCCGGAACGGAAUGCUCAAAAACACUCCCAACCAUGUUCUAGUCUAUAAUUAGGAAGAUUGCAUGCGUUCGUUGCGAAAAAAUCCACCCGAGUUUCGCUACACGGAAAUAGUGCGUUCGGGUGCCGAAAUGCACCCAUUUUGCCCCGUUUUUCGUUCCGGAACCGAAUGCUCAAAAAAACACCCCCAAACAUGUUCUAGGGUAUAAUUGGGAAGAUUGCAUGCGUUCGUUGCGAAAAAAUCCACCCGAGUUUCGCUACCCAGCAAUAGUGCAUUCGGGUGCCGAAAUGCACCCGUUUUGCAUCAUUUUUCGUUCCGGAACCGAAUGCUCAAAAACACUCCCAAACAUGUUCUAGGUUAUAAUUAGGAAGAUUGCAUGCCUUCGUUGCGAAAAAAUCCACCCGAGUUUCGCUACGAGGAAAUUGUGCAUUCGGGUGCUGAAAUGCACCCGUUUUGCAUCGUUUUUCGUGCCAUAACCGAAUGCUCAAAAAGACUCCCAAACAUGUUCUAGGGUAUAAUUAGGAAGAUUGCAUACGUUUGUUGCGAAAAAAUCCACCCGAGUUUCGCUACCCGGAAAUAGUGCAUUCGGGUGCCGAAAUGCAGCCGUUUUGCAUCAUUUUUCAUGCUAGAACCGAAUGCUCAAAAACACUCCCAAACAUGUUCUAGGGUCUAAUUACGUAGAUUGGAUGCGUUCGUUGCGAAAAAAAUCCACCUGAAUUUCGCUACCCGGAAAUAGUGCAUUCGGGUGCCGAAAUGCACCCAUUUUGCAUCAUUUUUUGUUCCGGAAUCGAAUGCUCAAAAACACUCCGAAACAUGUUCUAGGGUCUAAUUAUGAAGAUUGCAUGCGUUCGUUGCGAAAAAAUCUACCCGAGUUUCGCUACCCGGAAAUAGUGCAUUCGGUUGCUGAAAUGCACCCGUUUUGCAUCGUUUUUCGUGCCGGAACCGAAUGCUCAAAAACACUCCAAAACAUGUUCUAGGGUCUAAUUAGGAAGAUUGCAUGCAUUCGUUGCGAAAAAAUGCACCCGAGUUUCGCUACCCGGAAAUAGUGCAUUCGGGUGCCGAAUUGCACCUGUUUUGUAUCGUUUUUCGUUCUGGAACCGUUGCUCAAAAACACUCCCAAACAUGUUCUAGGGUAUAAUUAUGAAGAUUGCAUGCGUUCGUUGCGAAAAAAUCCACCCGAGUUUCGCUACACGGAAAAAGUGCAUUCGGGUGCCGAAAUGCACCCGUUUUGCAUCGUUUUUCGUUCCGGAACCGAAUCCUCAAAAAGACUCCCAAACAUGUUCUAGGGUAUAAUUAGGAAGAUUGCAUGCGUUCGUUGCGAAAAAAUCCACCCGAGUUUCGCUACACGGAAAAAGUGCAUUCGGGUGCCGAAAUGCACCCGUUUUGCAUCGUUUUUCGUUCCGGAACCGAAUGCUCAAAAAGACUCCCAAACAUGUUCUAGGGUAUAAUUAGGAAGAUUGCAUGCGUUCGUUGCGAAAAAAUCCACCCGAGUUUCGCUACACGGAAAAAGUGCAUUCGGGUGCCGAAAUGCACCCGAUUUGCCUCGUUUUUCGUUCCGGAACCGAAUGCUCAAAAACACUCCUAAACAUGUUCUAGGGUCUAAUUAUGAAGAUUGCAUGCGUUCGUUGCAAAAAAAUCUACCCGAGUUUCGCUACCCGGAAAUAGUGCAUUCGGUUGCUGAAAUGCACCUGUUUUGCAUCGUUUUUCGUGCCGGAACCGAAUGCUCAAAAACACUCCAAAACAUGUUCUAGGGUCUAAUUAGGAAGAUUGCAUGCAUUCGUUGCGAAAAAAUGCACCCGAGUUUCGCUACCCGGAAAUAGUGCAUUCGGGUGCCGAAAUGCAGCCGUUUUGCAUCAUUUUUCAUGCUAGAACCGAAUGCUCAAAAACACUCCCAAACAUGUUCUAGGGUCUAAUUACGUAGAUUGGAUGCGUUCGUUGCGAAAAAAAUCCACCUGAAUUUCGCUACCCGGAAAUAGUGCAUUCGGGUGCCGAAAUGCACCCAUUUUGCAUCAUUUUUUGUUCCGGAAUCGAAUGCUCAAAAACACUCCGAAACAUGUUCUAGGGUCUAAUUAUGAAGAUUGCAUGCGUUCGUUGCGAAAAAAUCUACCCGAGUUUCGCUACCCGGAAAUAGUGCAUUCGGUUGCUGAAAUGCACCCGUUUUGCAUCGUUUUUCGUGCCGGAACCGAAUGCUCAAAAACACUCCAAAACAUGUUCUAGGGUCUAAUUAGGAAGAUUGCAUGCAUUCGUUGCGAAAAAAUGCACCCGAGUUUCGCUACCCGGAAAUAGUGCAUUCGGGUGCCGAAUUGCACCUGUUUUGUAUCGUUUUUCGUUCUGGAACCGUUGCUCAAAAACACUCCCAAACAUGUUCUAUGGUAUAAUUAUGAAGAUUGCAUGCGUUCGUUGCGAAAAAAUCCACCCGAGUUUCGCUACACGGAAAAAGUGCAUUUGGGUGCCGAAAUGCACCCGUUUUGCAUCGUUUUUCGUUCCGGAACCGAAUCCUCAAAAAGACUCCCAAACAUGUUCUAGGGUAUAAUUAGGAAGAUUGCAUGCGUUCGUUGCGAAAAAAUCCACCCGAGUUUCGCUACACGGAAAAAGUGCAUUCGGGUGCCGAAAUGCACCCGUUUUGCAUCGUUUUUCGUUCCGGAACCGAAUGCUCAAAAAGACUCCCAAACAUGUUCUAGGGUAUAAUUAGGAAGAUUGCAUGCGUUCGUUGCGAAAAAAUCCACCCGAGUUUCGCUACACGGAAAAAGUGCAUUCGGGUGCCGAAAUGCACCCGAUUUGCCUCGUUUUUCGUUCCGGAACCGAAUGCUCAAAAACACUCCUAAACAUGUUCUAGGGUAUAAUUAGGAAGAUUGCAUGCGUUCGUUGCGAAAAAAUCCGCCCGAGUCUCGCUACCCGGCAAUAGUGCAUUCGGGUGCCGAAAUGCACCCGUUUUGCAUCAUUUUUCGUUCCGGAACCGAAUGCUCAAAAACACUCCCAAACAUGUUCUAGGGUAUAAUUAGGAAGAUUGCAUGCGUUCGUUGUGAAAAAAUCCACCCGAGUGUUGCUACCCCGGCAAUAGUGCAUUCGGGUGCCGAAUUGCACCCGUUUUGCAUCAUUUUUCGUUCCGGAACCGAAUGCUCAAAAACACUCCCAAACAUGUUCUAGGGUAUAAUGUGGAAGAUUGCAUGCGUUCGUUGCGAAAAAAUCCACCCGAGUGUCGCUACCCCGGCAAUAGUGCAUUCGGUUGCCGAAAUGCACCCGUUUUGUAUCGUUUUUGUUCUGGAACCGUUGCUCAAAAACACUCCAAAACAUGUUCUAUGGUCUAAUUAGGAAGAUUGCAUGCAUUCGUUGCGAAAAAAUCCACCCGAGUUUCGCUACCCCGGAAAUAGUGCAUUCGGGUGCCGAAUUGCACCUGUUUUGUAUCGUUUUUCGUUCUGGAACCGUUGCUCAAAAACACUCCCAAACAUGUUCUAGGGUAUAAUUAUGAAGAUUGCAUGCGUUCGUUGCGAAAAAAUCCACUCGAGUUUCGCUACACGGAAAAAGUGCAUUCGGGUGCCGAAAUGCACCCGUUUUGCAUCGUUUUUCGUUCCGGAACCGAAUGCUCAAAAACACUCCCAAACAUGUUCUAGGGUAUAAUUAGGAAGAUUGCAUGCAUUCGUUGCGAAAAAAUCCACCCGAGUUUCGCUACCCGGCAAUAGUGCAUUCGGGUGCCGAAAUGCACCCGUUUUGCAUCAUUUUUCGUUCCGGAACCGAAUGCUCAAAAACACUCCCAAACAUGUUCUAGGGUAUAAUUUGGAAGAUUGCAUGCGUUCGUUGCGAAAAAAUCCACCCGAGUUUCGCUACCCGGCAAUAGUUCAUUCGGGUGCCGAAAUGCACCCAUUUUGCCUCGUUUUUCGUGCCGGAACGGAAUGCUCAAAAACACUCCCAACCAUGUUCUAGUCUAUAAUUAGGAAGAUUGCAUGCGUUCGUUGCGAAAAAAUCCACCCGAGUUUCGC
rnacentral:lncRNA from 1 species